GAUAACCGAAGAUCACAGCCGGGUUCAAUGUGGGGUUAUUGAUGACUCGGACAUCUCCACCACCGGGCGCCCAACUAUCGUAGACACCGCCAAAGAACAUGGCUUUAAACACCAGCAACAGCGCACCACAACCCAACAGGAUUAAGUGGUAGCCGAUGAUGUUGGUCAUUUGGUUCUUGUCUUUCCA
rnacentral:antisense_RNA from 16 species